GCGGGCCUAUCAGCUUGUUGGUGGGGUAAUGGCCUACCAAGGCGACGACGGGUAGCCGGCCUGAGAGGGUGGACGGCCACACUGGGACUGAGACACGGCCCAGACUCCUACGGGAGGCAGCAGUGGGGAAUAUUGCACAAUGGGCGCAAGCCUGAUGCAGCGACGCCGCGUGAGGGAUGAAGGCCUUCGGGUUGUAAACCUCUUUCAGUAGGGAAGAAGCGAAAGUGACGGUACCUGCAGAAAAAGCGCCGGCUAACUACGUGCCAGCAGCCGCGGUAAUACGUAGGGCGCAAGCGUUAUCCGGAAUUAUUGGGCGUAAAGAGCUCGUAGGCGGUUUGUCGCGUCUGCCGUGAAAGUCCGGGGCUUAACUCCGGAUCUGCGGUGGGUACGGGCAGACUUGAGUGAUGUAGGGGAGACUGGAAUUCCUGGUGUAGCGGUGAAAUGCGCAGAUAUCAGGAGGAACACCGAUGGCGAAGGCAGGUCUCUGGGCAUUAACUGACGCUGAGGAGCGAAAGCAUGGGGAGCGAACAGGAUUAGAUACCCUGGUAGUCCACGCCGUAAACGUUGGGCACUAGGUGUGGGGGACAUUCCACGUUUUCCGCGCCGUAGCUAACGCAUUAAGUGCCCCGCCUGGGGAGUACGG
rnacentral:rRNA from 1 species